rnacentral:lncRNA from 1 species
UACACAUUGCCGCAUGCAUGUCACAAGAAUAUUUUAUUAUUGAAUCUCAUCGCCGGCCAUUGAUUGACGUGAUGGGUACCAGCAACAAUCACUUUUAAUCACAAAUAAAGCAGUAACAAUAUUGCUGAGUUUCACCAACCCUACAAUAAGCUCUAUAGACGUGUUCUGCCCAGGAAUUCCGGCAUGAUCUUCGGCAAUCUAAUGCUGAGCAUUCAGCGGCUGUAAAGGCAAUUACGUUCACGCAAUCAUCUGUAGACAAGAACAUGCAUCAAUGAGGGAUGUCCAAAUUGACAAACGUUGCAAAGAAAUUCAUGCAGGUCAGCUGAAAAUAUAGACACAUAGAAGAAAAGAGAUCAAUUUCUUACCAACGUGAAUGGGGUUGCCUAUGCCUAGUUGCACAAUCACCAUAAGGCAAAGGAGAAUGAUUUUCCCCUCCAUCAGAUAAGACACAAACUUCUCCUUCUCG